AGAACAAACUAGAAGUCAAACUCCCAUUCCAAAUCAAACUAUGAGUCACACCCCCAUUUCAGAGCAAACUGGGAACGAGGAGAAGCAAUAGGGCAUGGCUAUUUCCGGGGCAUCGGUCGUUUUGAGAUUCUGGUGUAAUUAGAAAGUCGGGUCGUGUGAGGAAGAAGCUGGUUUGUUGCCAUUUUUAGGUAUAUAAUUAUGUGCCCUGAUAGCAUAUUCAAAGCCUAUUUAGUUAUAUGGGUUUUUUUUUAUUUAU